rnacentral:lncRNA from 1 species
GUCAGUGAUAUGAUCUUUACUGAGAAAAUGAACCACAUUGAGAGAAGGCGCUCUGAUGUGAAGGUGGGUGCUCUGAUGUGAAAGUAGGUGCUCUGAUGUGAAGGUAGGUGCUCUGAUGUGAAGGUGGUGCUCUGAGGUGAAGGUAGGUGCUCUGAUGUGAAGGUAGGUGCUCUGAGGUGAAGGUAGGUGCUCUGAUGUGAAGGUGGGUGCUCUGAGGUGAAGGUAGGUGCUCUGAUGUGAAGGUAGGUGCUCUGAGGUGAAGGUAGGUGCUCUGAUGUGAAGGUGGGUGCUCUGAUGUGAAGGUAGGUGCUCUGAUGUGAAGGUAGGUGCUCUGAGGUGAAGGUAGGUGCUCUCGGGUGAAGGUAGGUGCUCUGAUGUGAAGGUGGGUGCUCCGAGGUGAAGGUGGGUGCUCCGAGGUGAAGGUAGGUGCUCUGAGGUGAAGGUAGGUGCUCUCGGGUGAAGGUAGGUGCUCUGAUGUGAAGGUGGGUGCUCCGAGGUGAAGGUGGGUGCUCCGAGGUGAAGGAGGGUGCUCUGAGGUGAAGGUAGGUGCUCUGAUGUGAAGCUAGGUGCUCUGAGGUGAAGGUGGGUGCUCUGAGGUGAAGGUAGGUGCUCUGAGGUGAAGGAAGGUGCUCUGAGGUGAAGGUAGGUGCUCUGAUGUGAAGGUAGGUGCUCUGAUGUGAAAGUGGGUGCUCUGAGGUGAAAGUGGGUGCUCUGAGGUGAAAGUGGGUGCUCUGAGGUGAAAGUGGGUGCUCUGAGGUGAAGGUGGGUGCUCUGAGGUGAAGGUGGGUGCUCUGAGGUGAAGGUGGGUGCUCUGAGGUGAAGGUGGGUGCUCUGAGGUGAAGGUAGGUGCUCUGAGGUGAAGGUAGGUGCUUUGAGGUGAAGGUAGGUGCUCUGAGGUGAAGGUAGGUGCUCUGAGGUGAAGGUAGGUUCUCUGAGGUGAAGGUAGGUGCUCUGAUGUGAAGGUAGUUGCUCUGAGGUGAGGGUAGGUGCUCUGAGGUGAAGAUGGUUGAUCUCAUGUGAAGGUAGGUGCUCUGAGGUGAAGCUGGGUGCUCUGAGGUGAAGGUAGGUGCUCUGAUGUGAAGGUAGGUGCUCUGAUGUGAAGGUAGGUGCUCUGAUGUGAAGGUAGGUGCUCUGAGGUAAAGGUAGGUGCUCUGAGGUAAAGGUAGGUGCUCUGAGGUAAAGGUAGGUGCUCUGAGGUAAAGGUAGGUGCUCUGAGGUGAAGGUAGGUGCUCUGAUGUGAAGAAGGUAGGUGCUCUGAUGUGAAGAAGGUAGGUGCUCUGAUGUGAAGGUGGGUGCUCUGAGGUGAAGGUGUGUGCUCUGAGGUGAAGGUGGGUGCUCUGAGGUGGAGGUAGGUGCUCUGAGGUGAAGGUAGGUGCUCUGAGGUGAAGAUGGUUAAUCUGAUGUGAAGGUAGGUGCUCUGAUGUGAAGCUGGGUGCUCUGAGGUGAAGGUAGGUUCUCUGAGGUGAAAGUGGGUGCUCUGAUGUGAAGGUAGGUGCUCUGAUGUGAAGGUAGGUGCUCGGAGGUGAAGAAGG